UACGUAGGUGGCAAGCGUUGUCCGGAUUUACUGGGCGUAAAGAGCGCGCAGGCGGUCGUUCAAGUCGCGUGUGAAAGCCCCCGGCUCAACUGGGGAGGGUCACGCGAUACUGAUCGACUCGAAGGCAGGAGAGGGUAGUGGAAUUCCAGGUGUAGCGGUGAAAUGCGUAGAUAUCUGGAGGAACACCGGUGGCGAAGGCGGCAUCCUGGACCGACACUGACGCUGAGGCGCGAAAGCUAGGGUAGCAAACGGG
rnacentral:rRNA from 1 species